rnacentral:rRNA from 1 species
GACGAACGCUGGCGGCGUGCCUAACACAUGCAAGUCGAGCGGAGAAAAUAAAAAGUUUACUUUAUAUUUUCUUAGCGGCGGACGGGUGAGUAACGAGUGAGAAACCUGCCUUACAGAUGGGGAUAACACAUCGAAAGAUGUGCUAAUACCGCAUGAUAAUAAUUUGUCGCAUGAUAAAGUAUACAAAGGAGCAAUCCGCUGUAAGAUGGGCUCGCGUCUGAUUAGCUAGUUGGUGAGGUAAUGGCUCACCAAGGCGACGAUCAGUAGCCGAACUGAGAGGUUGAUCGGCCACAUUGGGACUGAGACACGGCCCAGACUCCUACGGGAGGCAGCAGUGGGGAAUAUCGCGCAAUGGGGGAAACCCUGACGCAGCAACGCCGCGUGAAGGAUGAAGGUUUUCGGAUCGUAAACUUCUUUGAUCAGGGAUGAAUAAUGACAGUACCUGAAAAACAAGCCACGGCUAACUACGUGCCAGCCGCCGCGGUAAUAC